UUACGGCCACAUCAUGUUGAGACAUCGGUUCCCGUACGAUCACCGAAGUUAAGCAAUGGCAAACUAGUUAGUACCUGGAAGGAUGAUCACUUGGGAAGAUCAGGUGCUGUAUG